rnacentral:rRNA from 1 species
GGAUAUUGCACAAUGGGGGAAACCCUGAUGCAGCGACGCCGCGUGGGCGAUGAAGGUCUUCGGAUCGUAAAGCCCUUUUUGAGGUGACGAGAACGGACGGUAGCCUCAGAAUAAGUCUCGGCUAACUACGUGCCAGCAGCCGCGGUAAAACGUAGGAGGCAAGCGUUAUCCGGAGUUACUGGGCGUAAAGCGCAUGUAGGCGGUUCUACAAGUUGGUUGUGAAAGCUCCUGGCUAAACUGGGAGAGGCUG